UAGGGAUAGGUUAGGAAUUAAAACUCGAGAAUACGAAUUCAGAGGAUAUGUUGAGGAUAGAAGUGGUUAUAGAUUUUUUUCAUACUAAAAAAGAAUUCAUUGAAAGUAGGGAUACUAUGUUCAUAGAGACCACCAAUAUGAUUACUCUCACAGAUGACAUAAAACUCAUUGAAGAUAUGUAAGAUCAAAUAUCUGAUAUUAUAGAUAUAGAUAUUGACCAUAAGAUAGUUAAUUC
rnacentral:lncRNA from 1 species